ACAACUUUCGGAUUGUCGGUCUACAGAGCAAUUUCGCCAGCUCGGUGAAAGAUCUCCCCUUUGCCGU
rnacentral:pre_miRNA from 1 species